AAAAGUUUUAUGAGAAUUAUGAAAAGUAUUGUCAAUGAAUGAUAAUAAAAUUAUGAAAAAUCAAGAAACAAUUAUAGAAGAGUAUAUUUUUUUAUGGUAUUUGGUAUUGAUACUAGGAUAUAAAACAUGAAAGCAUAGUUGUAGGUACCUAAAAUGGUUAAAUAUGAUUUGUUAAUAUUCCUUUAUGAAAAUGGUGAAAUUAAAAGAAACUAAUUGGAGUAAAGAUGCAAUUUGUGAGUGCUUU
rnacentral:lncRNA from 1 species